rnacentral:rRNA from 1 species
UACAGAGGUCCCAAGCGUUGUUCGGAUUCAUUGGGCGUAAAGGGUGCGUAGGCGGCGCGGUAAGUCGGGUGUGAAAUCUCGGGGCUUAACUCCGAAACUGCAUUCGAUACUGCCGUGCUUGAGGACUGGAGAGGAGACUGGAAUUUACGGUGUAGCGGUGAAAUGCGUAGAUAUCCGGAGGAACACCGAUGGCGAAGGCAGGUCUCUGGGCAUUAACUGACGCUGAGGAGCGAAAGCAUGGGGAGCGAACAGG